rnacentral:rRNA from 1 species
GGACGAACGCUGGCGGCGUGCCUAACACAUGCAAGUCGAGCGAGGAGAUUCCUCGGGAUGAUCCUAGCGGCGGACGGGUGAGUAACGACGUGGGCAACCUGCCUCAUAGAGAGGAAUAGCCUUCCGAAAGGGAGAUUAAUACCUCAUAACAUUGCAGUUUCGCAUGGAACAGCAAUUAAAGGAGCAAUCCGCUAUGAGAUGGGCCCGCGGCGCAUUAGCUAGUUGGUGAGGUAACGGCUCACCAAGGCGACGAUGCGUAGCCGACCUGAGAGGGUGAUCGGCCACAUUGGGACUGAGACACGGCCCAGACUCCUACGGGAGGCAGCAGUGGGGAAUAUUGCACAAUGGGGGAAACCCUGAUGCAGCAACGCCGCGUGAGUGAUGACGGCCUUCGGGUUGUAAAGCUCUGUCUUCAGGGACGAUAAUGACGGUACCUGAGGAGGAAGCCACGGCUAACUACGUGCCAGCCGCGGC